rnacentral:lncRNA from 1 species
UUAAUAAAAUCCAAUUUAUUCUAAAAAUCAUGCUAUGAAGUCAACUUUAUACAAUAAAUAACUUUAAAAUUUAAUGAAGACUUAUUUCUGAAAAAUAAGUUUUAUCCACUCAUAAGGUAUGAGCUACAAGCUAGAUAGGCUGAUAGACGUUUCCAAUCGCCUCGUUACCUCCUGAAAUACGAUAAUGAUAACCAAUUUAUCCACUAUCAAAUCAAAAAACCUUAAUAUCUAAUAAUAGAACAUAAUUUAAAUGCUCUUGGUACUUAAAUAAAUUCUCAAAUUUCCCUUUAUUAAUUGGAGCUAAUCACACCUUAUAAUCCCUUGGUUAAUCACUAAUUUAUCAACAUAACCAUCAUUUCAAAUUUAAAACUAAUUUUACUAUCCAAUCUAAUGAAACUAAUAACCACAAUUCCACCCACAUAAUAUACAUUUGUUCCAUAAAAUCAAUUCCCAAGUGAAAUAUUUCAUUUACAUAAUCACUUCACAAUUAAUUGAUUAAAAUCCCCAAAAUCGGAUUCUAGGGUUUUUCCAAAAAUUUGACAUCUCCAUACCUUGCUAAAAACUUGAAAUGAAUAAAUCCCCACACUUGAGCUCCAAUUCGUGCAAAUAUCCCUAAAAUUCGACAUAUUAUUCAACAAGUUAAAACCCUAAAAAUUUUAACAUAAUUCAUACUUUAUCACCUAAAACAAAUGGAAAAUUUCAACCCAACUUGAAGAUAUCAACCUUACCUCCUUUCCUCUUCUUUUUCCCUUCUUCUUUUCCUUUCUCUUUUCCUUUUUCCCUUCUUCUUUUCCUCUUUUUCUCCUUCUUUCUCGGUCUCUGCUUCUUCCCGUAAGUU